UUUAUUUUUUCGUAUCCAACGUUUGACCAUUUGUUUUAUUUGAAUUUUUUCGAUUAAUAUUUUUAUUAUUACUAGAUGAUAAAAUAUGAAUAAUAUUUUAUACGUGACUAAUUUUUUUAAGUUUUUUAUUUUUUAAAUAAGACAAAUGGUCAAAUGUUAGACUCGGAAAAAC
rnacentral:pre_miRNA from 1 species